GACUCUGUAGCUUGAAGAAAUAGGAGCGCCAAUCUAGCAAAUUGGGAGUCGUGAGUUCGAGUCUCACCGGAGUAC
rnacentral:tRNA from 1 species